AUUGAACGCUGGCGGCAUGCUUUACACAUGCAAGUCGAACGGUAACAGGGAGCUUGCUCCGCUGACGAGUGGCGAACGGGUGAGUAAUGCGUCGGAACGUGCCGAGUAGUGGGGGAUAACGCAUCGAAAGGUGUGCUAAUACCGCAUACGUACUGAGGUAGAAAGUGGGGGACCUUCGGGCCUCACGCUAUUCGAGCGGCCGACGUCUGAUUAGCUAGUUGGUGAGGUAAAGGCUCACCAAGGCGACGAUCAGUAGCGGGUCUGAGAGGAUGAUCAGCCACACUGGGACUGGGACACGGCCCAGACUCCUACGGGAGGCAGCAGUGGGGAAUUUUGGACAAUGGGCGCAAGCCUGAUCCAGCCAUGCCGCGUGUCUGAAGAAGGCCUUCGGGUUGUAAAGGACUUUUGUCCGGGAGCAAAUGCCUGGUGUUAAUAGCAUCGGGAGCUGAGAGUACCGGAAGAAUAAGCACCGGCUAACUACGUGCCAGCAGCCGCCGCAGUAA
rnacentral:rRNA from 1 species